rnacentral:rRNA from 1 species
UACGUAGGGUGCGAGCGUUAAUCGGAAUUACUGGGCGUAAAGCGUGCGCAGGCGGUUUUGUAAGACAGGCGUGAAAUCCCCGGGCUCAACCUGGGAACUGCGCUUGUGACUGCAAGGCUAGAGUACGGCAGAGGGGGGUGGAAUUCCACGUGUAGCAGUGAAAUGCGUAGAGAUGUGGAGGAACACCAAUGGCGAAGGCAGCCCCCUGGGUCGAUACUGACGCUCAUGCACGAAAGCGCGGGGAGCAAAAGGG